AGCGAACGCUGGCGGCAGGCCUAACACAUGCAAGUCGAACGAACCCUUCGGGGUUAGUGGCGGACGGGUGAGUAACACGUGGGAACGUGCCUUUAGGUUCGGAAUAACUCAGGGAAACUUGUGCUAAUACCGAAUGUGCCCUUCGGGGGAAAGAUUUAUCGCCUUUAGAGCGGCCCGCGUCUGAUUAGCUAGUUGGUGAGGUAAUGGCUCACCAAGGCUACGAUCAGUAGCUGGUCUGAGAGGAUGACCAGCCACAUUGGGACUGAGACACGGCCCAAACUCCUACGGGAGGCAGCAGUGGGGAAUCUUGCGCAAUGGGCGAAAGCCUGACACAGCCAUGCCGCGUGAAUGAUGAAGGUCUUAGGAUUGUAAAAUUCCUUCACCGGGGACGAUAAUGACGGUACCCGGAGAAGAAGCCCCGGCUAACUUCGUGCCAGCAGCCGCGGUAAGAC
rnacentral:rRNA from 1 species